rnacentral:precursor_RNA from 1 species
AGGCCUUCCUGAGCAUGCGCAGUUUCCUCCAGCCCUGGGCAAGCCUGCGGAGGUGUGG